UAGCAUUCAAACACAAAUCCAAAUCAAAACUUAAUCUCCUCAGGAGGAAAAUGAAUCAAAAGAAGAGUUACUUCUAAUUACCGUCUGUCUCCUGAUUGCAGGGUUAUCUGAAUUCAUCUAUGACUAGUAAAUUCAUAAUUUAUGAAGCCCUACUCUGACUGCCACUUGCCUUAAUAGCCCUCAUUUUAGAAAGAUGAUGUCUUCAAGCCAAAGGAUGCUUAACACAAUGUUUAGUGAUGCUGAUGAGCCUUGAUCAAUUAUUCCUAAAGUAAGCACUUGUGAAAAAAGAAGUGAUUUCCUAAUUCAUCUCUGCUUCUCCUCCAGGCCAACUCACCCCACUUCCUUUCUCCCCAACAGAGGAACAGUGUAAGGCUGGAAGGUACAGGAACCAACCCACCUGCUGACUCUGAUUUCACUGAAGAAACCAGAUAAGCAUUUAAUGACUCACCUGUCAAAACUCAUGUUUCUACUCCAUCCUUUGAGAUUUCUACAACCACAAAGAUGUUCCAUGGAACAUGGAUAGAACAUGGAACAUGGAACAAAGAGGCUCCUACUAACUACCAUGGCCAUAAUGUGGGAUUCAGGAAUGCAAUGCAUGUGACAUCUAUCCAACACCUCACAGAACCAUCUGCCCAGCAGCGAACACCUUGGGAAAAGGCCUUCUUGUACAGAUCCUUAUUAUUUUUGCUGAGCAGGUGGUAGCUGCAAUUUUGGCUUUCCGAGGAGCAGCAGUUGUGAGGUUGUGUAUGACAACAGUGGAGGUGGCUCUUUGUGGUGUUCAGUAGAAGAGUGGUGACAGCGGCCACAGUGAUGGGAAUGGUUUCUCCUCAGGCCAGUUCUGGGAUCUGCUUUGGGGCUUUUUUCCUGGACACUCAGUAUCACCAUCCCUGGUUCUCCACCCCUGACAACAUUUUUUCAACAAAUUGCUGUUCUGAAUACUGUAUUUGGAACAAUCCUCAACUGCUUGCAUGUAGGAACUCUGCCUGAGACAGGAGAGGAGGAAAAAUUGUGACCACGAUUUACAUCCUUCUCAAGUCAUAUGAAAACAAGUGACAGUCCUAGUUUGCUGCUGUGGCCAUAACACAGCCCCCAGCGAACACACCACUGCCUUUCAGUGUUCAUGUAUUUUCCCUGUCCUCUUCCAUGUUUAAUCAGGGUUGGGGUGUGUGACCAAAAAAAUACUGAGGAAAUAACAGUGUGUGACUUCCCUGGGCUAGUUUAUAAAGGCAUCAUACCUUCUAUGUUGGCUUCCUGGACCUCUCCUUCUGGGGGAACACCAGCCACCAUGUUGUGAGAACACCCAAGUAGUGCUGUGGAGAUGCUAAACAGAGGAGGACCUGCUCGUCAGCACUGACUUGACUGUUGUAUGAGUGAGCCAUCUCAGAGGGAUCUUCCUUUCUCCCUCACCUUUCAAUACCACAGCUGCCCAACCAAGCUGCUAUUGAAUGCUUGACUCAUAGACACUGUGAAAGAAAGGGAAUAUGGUUGUGUUGAACCACAAAGUUUUGUAAUAAUUUAUUAUGUAACAACAGAUAAACUAAAAUACAGUGUUUGCAGAUGGUUAGUUUCUGUAGGGCAAGGGAAAGCUGAACCUGUUUACAAUAAAGAGAAAGGGACAGAACCCAUGUAGAGGACUGCUGUUCUAAGAGAGAGGAGAAAUAAGUAGAGUUCA